UGUUCAAAAUUUUUCUGAUGGGUGAGAGGAGUGUGUAACGUUACAAACGUCACAUCUUUGAUAUUUUAUUUUUAAAUAAUUAUUUUACCUUAUUUUCUUUAAUAUUUCAUUAAUAAUUAUCUUCUUCUAUUUGGUUUACCCAUUUCCCCCUUUAAAAAUCGGUUGGCGCUCAUUUAUUAUCCUCUUUUAUUAUCCUCUGUUAUUUCUAUUUAAUAUAUUUCUUUUCAUCUAUUAAUAUGCACGUUUGGUAAUCAGAAUUUUAACUAUUCUCAUCUAAAUUCUAUGUAAUUUACCCUUGCCAAUUACUAUUUCUGAAUACUAUUUGGCAAAGGUAUAUUUUGGUUUUUCUUCUUGAUGAUUGAUAUGUGUCUCUAUUUUAUAGUUUUUUGGAAAGAGAUCAACCUUUCCCUCUUCGGGAACUUAAGCCUCACAUCACCGGUGAUGCACACUUGAAGGCGAAGACAAUGACAUCCAGACUGCACAACCACCACCUCUAGCUGCAGGGGCCUUGGGCCGAAGAUCCGCACAGGCCUACGAGAAGUCUACAACAGCAGUACCAUACGACAUCAAGAAGAUACCAUCAGCUACCAAAAGCCAUAAUUUUUUGGAAAGAGAUCAACCUUUCCCUCUUCGGGAACUUAAGCCUCACAUCACCGGUGAUGCACACUUGAAGGCGAAGACAAUGACAUCCAGACUGCACAACCACCACCUCUAGCUGCAGGGGCCUUGGGCCGAAGAUCCGCACAGGCCUACGAGAAGUCUACAACAGCAGUACCAUACGACAUCAAGAAGAUACCAUCAGCUACCAAAAGCCAUAAUUUUUUGGAAAGAGAUCAACCUUUCCCUCUUCGGGAACUUAAGCCUCACAUCACCGGUGAUGCACACUUGAAGGCGAAGACAAUGACAUCCAGACUGCACAACCACCACCUCUAGCUGCAGGGGCCUUGGGCCGAAGAUCCGCCCAGGCCUACGAGAAGUCUACAACAGCAGUACCAUACGACAUCAAGAAGAUACCAUCAGCUACCAAAAGCCAUAAGUAUAAUCCAGAAUUGUUAGUUUUUGGCAAGAAUUUAAAUACAUUUGUUAAUGCAAUUUACUAAGUCAUUUUAUUUAUUAUAUCUUUUAUGAAAAAUAAACAUGAUUAGUUAAA